UCCACCACUUAUCCUCAUUGCAGAAAUAGCUUUGUUUCUUUAAAGUAGCUGCAGGAGAGACCAAUGACAGACAGAAUGAGGGAAAUUUCACCAAGAUCAUGCGAGCUGAGUGCUUCCAAGGGCUAAAUUUAAUUUCCUGAUUCUUCCCACGUAUUCUAGGCUUUGCCUAUUUAUGCACAAAAUAUUCUUAUGUACACUUAUUUUUCACUUCCUAUCCCAAAAGGGUUUUUAUCCUAGGGAGGGUCUCAAAGGUUUUCUAAGGAAGUGAUUAAAUUAAAUGAAAUAAUUGUUCAGUGAUAAGUUGAACACAAAAAAGGUUUUGGUAACUAGUAAUUUUGGCUUAACAACUGUGUGCAUCUUGUCCAGUUUAGUUAAAUUACCCCUGCUUCUGUUAUCCAUUUGUGCUUCCUUAUC
rnacentral:lncRNA from 1 species